UUUGGAGGGGUUGAACUUGAUGGACUUUGUCUUUUUUCAACCCAAUUUAACUGUGUAACACCACCAACAAUCUCCACCUGUUUCUCAAUUGCAUUCCCCUCACCCCCUGUGCAAGAGGCAAGAUCUGUAAAACAUCACCUUGGAUGCAUAAAAGGUGUUUAUCAUUUCUAUGAUAUCAGAAAGCUGUAUGGGUUAGCAAAAGCACCAGGAAAAGCAAAAGCAGCACCCUCAAAACACAGGCACCCCCCUUCCCUAACUAUAGGCGUGUUACCUGUAUGAACUCACCUGCUCUGUCUCUGUGGGUGUGUCACUAGCAACAAACUUAAGCGUUAGAGUACUGAUGCAGCAGCAACUUCACAUUUCCUUGCUUUUCUUUGAAAAGUUUUUCUAAAUAAAUUCCCUACUUUUGGCACCAGAUCUCACCAAGGACUCCUGGAUGGCAUGCAGAGAUUACGAUCUAGAGGGCAACUGUCACCAGUAAAGCGAGGGGCGAAUUUGGGGCGUUUCACUUUGCCGAAAAAUUCACGAAUUUCCCGGGCUGGAGGAACUAAUGGCACACAGUAGACAAAGUAUCUGUAUCCCAGCAACAGACCCAUAUAAAGUUCCAGCAGAUGAAAACCCUCAGACGAUGGUGGCAGAGCGGUCUGAUUUCUUUCCUUCAGUAAGCUUGGCUGGGGUUCUUCUAAUUGUGUUUCUACUUCUUAUCCCAGUUCUCUUCCCAUCUGUCCAUCCCUUGGGAAGUCAUUCAAUACUCAUCAAUGGAACCUUUGUGCACCUACACCCUCUACUCACUAGCCAACCACUCUCAACUCGAAGGGAGUUACAGAAGAUUUUUAGAGGAAUUAGGGUAGAGGGUGUUACAGUGAUAGCAAUUGCUCAGGAAGAUGCUUUUCAGACACUUGUUUGUUUCUCCAGCUUUAUGAUAUCCCUUCUAUCACAUAAAAGCACUACAGACAAUGUCACCAAAAGGCUCCAACACAUCGACUCUGGUUUACAGGCUAGGAAUGGUGCAAGAACUCCAGAAGGCUUUUACAUUUCAGUCAUAACUCAGGAAAAACGACAAGCACCCUUUGGAACGAUUCUGGGCCCAAGAAGUCCUAUAUCUGGUGAGGGACCUCAAUGGGAGAUGACUCUUACCUUAACACAGAUGGACAACAAGGAGAUGAUGCACAAGGAAGCCUCAUUCUUAGCUAGGGAGCUUCUACAAAUUCUACCAACAGGGCAGGUUCCACUGGUUUUUGAGAAAGCUAAAUUAUGGGGAAAGUCGCUGCCUGUACUACAGAUUACAGCAAACCCUUAUCUUGAGAGUGGCUUUGUGUGCUGAAGGAUUGAAUGCUAUUUUUUCUUAACAUCUACAAGCUACAACUUCGAAAUGCAACUUGUUAUCAUAGGAGUGAAACUCAAGAGCUUAACUCCACUGUAUGGGUCUACUUCUGUUUAAAUGACACCCCAAAUACGUAAUCAUUGGGAGCAAAGCUAACACCAGCAAGUACUCACUGAAGACUUUCGGUAGGAACAUAAACUAAUGGAUUAUGUGAAAUGCUGUCCAUGGCCUCAUUUUCUGACACUCUGAAGAACAAAGGAAACUAUAUCCCUAUAUGUGAAUUUAUUGUAUAUGGUGAUGAAAUAUAGCACUAUUACAGAAAAUGUUGGCAUCCCCAGUUAUCCACAUUGACAUGGACCAUAACUGUAUAUCACAAUAUUCUCUUUCUUAUAAGCACUAGCGUAUUUUUACAUUGUGUUUGUUGACCGUAGAUGUACUCUCCCUGUUUCAUAUGAUUUAAAACUACAUUUAUUAUUACUUGUUGGUAAAGGCAAGAAAACCCCAAAACUGUGAAUUCUUGUUUGAAAGAUUUUUGGCAAAAGCUAUGGUCCAACUCCUUGGUUCUGAGAAGUAAUGCCUUAUCACAGGAGUCCAGUUUGAUGUUCCUUUUGUAUGUUUAUCAAUAAAAUACCUGCUUUUAUGUA